AACGAACGCUGGCGGCAUGCCUAACACAUGCAAGUCGAACGAGACCUUCGGGUCUAGUGGCGCACGGGUGCGUAACGCGUGGGAACCUGCCCUUAGGUUCGGCAUAACUCCCCGAAAGGGAUGCUAAUACCGGAUAAUGUCUUCGGACCAAAGAUUUAUCGCCUUUGGAUGGGCCCGCGUUGGAUUAGCUAGUUGGUAGGGUAAAAGCCUACCAAGGCGACGAUCCAUAGCUGGUCUGAGAGGAUGAUCAGCCACACUGGGACUGAGACACGGCCCAGACUCCUACGGGAGGCAGCAGUGGGGAAUAUUGGACAAUGGGCGGAAGCCUGAUCCAGCAAUGCCGCGUGAGUGAUGAAGGCCUUAGGGUUGUAAAGCUCUUUUACCCGGGAUGAUAAUGACAGUACCGAGAGAAUAAGCUCCGGCUAACUCCGUG
rnacentral:rRNA from 1 species